GGACGGGUGGCCGAGUGGUUUAAGGCAGCGGUCUUGAAAACCGCCGUGGGUGAAAGCCCACCGUGGGUUCGAAUCCCACCCCGUCCG
rnacentral:tRNA from 1 species